GCCCGGUUAGCUCAAUCGGUAGAGCGUGAGACUCUUAAUCUCAAGGUUGCGGGUAAGUUCUAGAGAUUUCCCACACAUUUCAUACUAUUCAAAGCUAACAUGUCCUCCAAGGUUCGACCCCCGCAUCGGGCU